rnacentral:rRNA from 1 species
UCCGUAGGUGAACCUGCGGAAGGAUCAUUAAAGAUUCGACCUUUUGGUCUAUCUCUCUUCAGCUGUGCGCUUAGGCUGCACGCUGUUGAACCUUUCACACCUGUGCACCAUUCGGUUGCGGUUUCGGCCGCUUCCGCUUUUACACAUACAACCACAGUCCAGAAUGUAAACACAAUAACAAAUAACAACUUUCAACAACGGAUCUCUUGGCUCUCGCAUCGAUGAAGAACGCAGCGAAAUGCGAUAAGUAAUGUGAAUUGCAGAAUUCAGUAUACCCGCUGAACUUAAGCAUAUCAAUAAG